GGUUUGUUAAUUUCUUUGGUUUGGUUCUUAUUCGAAAAGAUGGCGUCGGAUGUGAAGACGGAAGGGAGACACCGUUUAUAAGGUGACCGGAGGUGUUUGAAGUGACGGCGUCGGAUCCUUUCAAGGAAGCGCAGAGACCGUACCGCGCUAAAGCGACACCGGCGUGCGGUCAUCAUUGAUGAACGAUGGCUUGUUUCUCGGAUGAAGGGAAUGAGUUACACACAGGUUCAGCACUCACCUAUGCAGCCCGAAGAUGAGAAGUUGUAAUGCAGCUCAG